UAUGUACAUGCCUACAAUGUUAAUGCAAUAAAUCCCAUCAUAACUCUAUAGUUAAGCAUGCUUGUGCUAUAUUAGUACUGGGAUGGGUGACCUCCCGGGAAGUCCUAGUGUUUUACAUGC
rnacentral:rRNA from 1 species